UCCCCGUUGCCGGGGCAGUCUAGCCAGAGAAAUUCAACUGACUAUAAGGGUUGCGCUCGUUGAUGGACUUAACCAAACAUCUCACGACACGAGCUGACGACGGCCAUGCAACACCUGUCACUGCGUUCAAUAAAGCACAGUCUCCUUUCGGAGACCUUCGCAGGAUGUCAAACCUUGGUAAGGUUCUUCGUUUACUGUCGAAUUAAACAACACGCUCCACCGCUUGUGCGGGUCCCCGUCAAUUCCUUUAUGUUUUAAGCUUGCGCUCGUACUCCACAGGCGGGAUGCUUAACGCGUUAGCUUCGCUACUAGAAGGGUCGAUACUUCUAACAGCUAGCAUCCAUAGUUUACGGCGUGGACUAC
rnacentral:misc_RNA from 1 species